AUUGAUAGUGGUCUUAAAACUUUUGAAGAAUACAUGAAUUCUGGGAAGCCUCCUAUGAUAGAGCUAUACAUAACACUUGUAGAAGGAGCCAUGGUAGGGUAUACUCCCAAGGGAAUGCAACUUGCUCAAGACACACUGGUAAAUAUGAAUUCCAGAAACUUUUUCUUGAGUCCAAAACAAGGAAGCGAUCUCCUCCUUGUAGCAGCUGGUGAAAAGGGUGGUGGAUAUACAACUGCUAACUUUAUAUGGGACCUGAUGCAAGGUCGUAAAAUAACCCCUUCAUUUCCAGCUGUGGAAGCAUACUACAAAGGACUAAAAGAACGCGAGAUACCUGAAGACGAUCCACGACUGUUAAUAGUUUCUCGUACCUAUGACAACAC
rnacentral:misc_RNA from 1 species